rnacentral:rRNA from 1 species
ACGGGAGGCAGCAGUGGGGAAUAUUGGACAAUGGGGGAAACCCUGAUCCAGCGGCGCCGCGUGAGUGAAGAAGUAUUUCGGUAUGUAAAGCUCUAUCAGCAGGGAAGAUAAUGACGGUACCUGACUAAGAAGCCCCGGCUAACUACGUGCCAGCAGCCGCGGUAAUACGUAGGGGGCAAGCGUUAUCCGGAUUUACUGGGUGUAAAGGGAGCGUAGACGGAAGGCCAAGUCUGAUGUGAAAACCCAGGGCCCAACCCUGGGACUGCAUUGGAAACUGGUCAUCUAGAGUGCAGGAGGGGUAAGCGGAAUUCCUAGUGUAGCGGUGAAAUGCGUAGAUAUUAGGAGGAACACCAGUGGCGAAGGCGGCUUACUGGACUGUAACUGACGUUGAGGCUCGAAAGCGUGGGGAGCAAACAGGAUUAGAUACCCUGGUA